rnacentral:rRNA from 1 species
UACGUAGGGGGCAAGCGUUGUCCGGAAUCAUUGGGCGUAAAGAGCGUGUAGGCGGUCCGGUAAGUCGGCUGUGAAAGUCCAGGGCUCAACCCUGGGAUGCCGGUCGAUACUGCCGGACUAGGGUCCGGAAGAGGCAAGUGGAAUUCCCGGUGUAGCGGUGAAAUGCGCAGAUAUCGGGAGGAACACCAAUGGCGAAGGCAGCUCUCUGGGACGGUACUGACGCUGAAACGCGAAAGCGUGGGGAGCGAACCGG